rnacentral:rRNA from 1 species
CAACGAGCUUACCUCCCAACCCCUGUGACAUACCUAUACGUUGCCUCGGCGGAUCAGCCCGCGCCCCGUAAAAAGGGACGGCCCGCCCGAGGACCCCUAAACUCUGUUUUUAGUGGAACUUCUGAGUAAAACAAACAAAUAAAUCAAAACUUUCAACAACGGAUCUCUUGGUUCUGGCAUCGAUGAAGAACGCAGCAAAAUGCGAUAAGUAAUGUGAAUUGCAGAAUUCAGUGAAUCAUCGAAUCUUUGAACGCACAUUGCGCCCGCCAGUAUUCUGGCGGGCAUGCCUGUUCGAGCGUCAUUUCAACCCUCAAGCUCAGCUUGGUGUUGGGACUCGCGGUAACCCGCGUUCCCCAAAUCGAUUGGCGGUCACGUCGAGCUUCCAUAGCGUAGUAAUCAUACACCUCGUUACUGGUAAUCGUCGCGGCCACGCCGUAAAACCCCAACUUCUGAAUGUUGACCUCGGAUCAGGUAGGAAUACCCGCUGAACUUAAGCAUACAAAAAACCGGGAAAAA